GUUAAAACUUCAAAAUUUUCAUUUGACAAUUUUUUUUUUUUAUGCAAUUGGCUUCUACUGAGACUAGAACUCAAGUGCAAUUAAAUUAAACCUUCAAUAGCACUAUCAGGCAAACUCUUCUAUCUAUAUUAGUUGCUUCGGAAGAUGAAAAACAAAAUAGGAAAGAUGAUGAGCUACCUUAUUUCCAGUGUAUCAGAUCUUUAUCUAUGGGUGAAAUGAAAUGGAUAUAGUCAUGCGGCAUUUGG
rnacentral:misc_RNA from 1 species